GAAAUGCGAUAAGUAAUGUGAAUUGCAGAAUUCAGUGAAUCAUCGAAUCUUUGAACGCACAUUGCACCCGCCAGUAUUCUGGCGGGCAUGCCUGUCCGAGCGUCAUUUCAACCAUCAAGCCCCCGGGCUUGUGUUGGGGACCUGCGGCUGCCCGCAGGCCCUGAAAUCCAGUGGCGGGCUCGCUGUCACACCGAGCGUAGUAGCAAUCACCUCGCUCAGGGCGUGCUGCGGGUUCCGGCCGUUAAACAGCCUUACAAAACCCAAGGUUGACCUCGGAUCAGGUAGGAAGACCCGCUGAACUUAAGC
rnacentral:misc_RNA from 1 species